AGUCCAUCAAAGGUCAAUGUGCUCCAAAAAUAAAAAUUAAUAAAAAAAAAAAUUACAACUAUAGGUAGUAGGGAUUUAAAGAUAUUAUUAAACAUACGCGCUGGCGUGACGUUACGAAAAACAGAAGUGGAUUUUGACUCGGGUUACAAAAUUGCAAAACUUCGCGAAUUGAGCAAGACUAUUUGUAUGAAUAUUUUUGUAGUAUACAGGAAAUGUUUAAGGUGAAUUUUCCAAUUUUCUAAAUGUAGAUACUUUUCUGCUUUACCUAUAUUUAUUCAGCUGAAUUAUCUGACGCGACGUUACCUGGCGUUACGUUACAAACGUUCGCUAGGGUGGAAAAGAAUAAUUCGAGCUUAAGACUCAAACAGAAACCUCCAAAUUUAUUCAGAAAUUUUGUAUACUACAUAGUUUUUGGGUAGCUUCAUAUUUCUGGAGGUGUUCCGAAAGAAACUAAUACCUUUUUCAUACAAAUUAUGUCCACCUUAAUGUAUAUAUACGUACCUCCGAAAUUUCUUACAUAUAUAUGUAUAUACAUACAUAUCUAUGUAUAACCAUACAUGUAUAAAUAUCUAAAGCAAUCCCUGUUGACUAAGUAACCGGUUAUGGAUAGGUGAAAAAUCAUUUUAAAUGUAUACAUAUCCGUUUCGAAAUUAGAACUAUUUAUGAUGGUAAACGGUGAAUAUUUAAUGCCCAUGACCACCAAACGAAUGGCUGCCAAUUAAUCCAAACGAUCCUCCAAAUGUUAGUGGAGUAAACUACGUAGAUUCCCAAAUGCAAUACAGAGCAACCCAAAAAUCAAAUCGAACGAUCCACAAUUAGGACACGAAAGCUAUUUUUGUUGGCCUUUGAAUUCAAC